GAAAUUUGAAAGCGCCGGCACUACGUUUGUUAGUAACGUGGAUAAUAUCAGCUUGGCAAGAAAUCACCCCAGAAAUGAUAAGAAAAUCCUUCAAGGAUUGUGGAAUCAUCAAUGCAUGCGAUGGAUCUGAGGACGAUCUUAUCCACUGCUUUAAGGAGGGCCAGCCAUGCCAUGCUGGGAGUGCGAAACUGAUUACUGUGCGACAACAAGCAAUGGGAGUACCUGUAUUGCCAUCACAAGAGGAGGAAGAUGAAGAAGAACUCACAAAUAACGAAGCAAUCAUUACCGAUUCAGACGACGAGUAGAUGGGGACUUGUAGGGCUGAUGAGCGCUUUCGUGCGAAAUUCGGACUGGUGCAGGCCAGUGCUGGUGGAAUCAUUGGCAAGAAAGUUCAGUAGACGUCUACCAUACCUGUUUUUCAUGCUUACAGUAAUACCGUGUACUGCUGUACUGAUAAUUUCAUUAAAUCCUGAAAUGUUCAUCCGGUGUUGUUGCCUACAUUUUGUGGCCGUAAAUACGGUACCAUACCGUAUUUUACUGCCUAAUGAACCCCGUUUACCCAUCACCAUUCCGUCUGCAAGGCGAAUAAUAGCCGGUCUCCAACAACCGCCGGUCUCUUUUAAACGCCGGGCCGUCCGAAUAAUUUUUUGAAUAAACGCCGGGGCUACUAUUGGAAGAUAUACAGUAUAUA